ensembl:misc_RNA 7SK 7SK RNA
GGAUGUGAGGGCCAUAGCCUAUGAUAUCUGUCAUCCCACUGAUCAGCUGAUCUAGCUGAUCAGGCUGGCUGGUCAGGUGUCCCCUUCCUCCCUCAUUGCUCCAUGUGAAUCUUUCUCAAAGCUGCACACUUGCUUGGUCAAAGGACAACCUGUAUUUGGUCAAGGGUAUAGAAAUAUCUUCAACCCCCUGCUAGAACCUCCAAACAAGCUCUUGAGUAUAGUUUGUACCAGUCUUCUUUGAGUGGCAGAGUAGGGUGACAUAGCCUCCCUUCAUUCGGUGGGGCAGUCCCUAU